rnacentral:rRNA from 1 species
GUGACUGCGUACCUUUUGUAUAAUGGGUCAGCGACUUAUAUUCUGUAGCAAGGUUAACCGUAUAGGGGAGCCGGAGGGAAACCGAGUCUUAACCGGGCGUUAAGUUGCAGGGUAUAGACCCGAAACCCGGUGAUCUAGCCAUGGGCAGGUUGAAGGUUGGGUAACACUAACUGGAGGACCGAACCGACUAAUGUUGAAAAAUUAGCGGAUGACCUGUGGCUGGGGGUGAAAGGCCAAUCAAACCGGGAGAUAGCUGGUUCUCCCCGAAAGCUAUUUAGGUAGCGCCUCGUGAAUUCAUCUCCGGGGGUAGAGCACUGUUUCGGCUAGGGGGCCAUCCCGGCUUACCAACCCGAUGCAAACUGCGAAUACCGGAGAAUGUUAUCACGGGAGACACACGGCGGGUGCUAACGUCCGUCGUGAAGAGGGAAACAACCCAGACCGCCAGCUAAGGUCCCAAAGUCAUGGUUAAGUGGGAAACGAUGUGGGAAGGCCCAGACAGCCAGGAUGUUGGCUUAGAAGCAGCCAUCAUUUAAAGAAAGCGUAAUAGCUCACUGGUCGAGUCGGCCUGCGCGGAAGAUGUAACGGGGCUAAACCAUGCACCGAAGCUGCGGCAGCGAACGUAUCACCCAAGACAACUUUACGGAGUUGACGAUUGACGGAGCGAAGCGACGUCAAAGCGUUCAUUAAAGUCGAGUUGGCUUAGGGAUACGUUCGUUGGGUAGGGGAGCGUUCUGUAAGCCUGUGAAGGUGUGUCGUGAGGCAUGCUGGAGGUAUCAGAAGUGCGAAUGCUGACAUAAGUAACGAUAAAGCGGGUGAAAAGCCCGCUCGCCGGAAGACCAAGGGUUCCUGUCCAACGUUAAUCGGGGCAGGGUGAGUCGACCCCUAAGGCGAGGCCGAAAGGCGUAGUCGAUGGGAAACGGGUUAAUAUUCCCGUACUUGGUGUUACUGCGAAGGGGGGACGGAGAAGGCUAUGUUGGCCGGGCGACGGUUGUCCCGGUUUAAGCGUGUAGGUGUGUGUUCCAGGUAAAUCCGGUUCACUUUAACACUGAGGCGUGACGACGAGGCACUACGGUGCUGAAGCAACAAAUGCCCUGCUUCCAGGAAAAGCCUCUAAGCAUCAGGUAACACGAAAUCGUACCCCAAACCGACACAGGUGGUCAGGUAGAGAAUACCAAGGCGCUUGAGAGAACUCGGGUGAAGGAACUAGGCAAAAUGGUGCCGUAACUUCGGGAGAAGGCACGCUGACACGUAGGUGAAGUGAUUUACUCAUGGAGCUGAAGUCAGUCGAAGAUACCAGCUGGCUGCAACUGUUUAUUAAAAACACAGCACUGUGCAAACACGAAAGUGGACGUAUACGGUGUGACGCCUGCCCGGUGCCGGAAGGUUAAUUGAUGGGGUCAGCGCAAGCGAAGCUCCUGAUCGAAGCCCCGGUAAACGGCGGCCGUAACUAUAACGGUCCUAAGGUGCGAAAUUCCCUUGUCGGGUAAGUUCCGACCUGCACGAAUGGCGUAAUGAUGGCCAGGCUGUCUCCACCCGAGACUCAGUGAAAUUGAACUCGCUGUGAAGAUGCAGUGUACCCGCGGCAAGACGGAAAGACCCCGUGAACCUUUACUAUAGCUUGACACUGAACAUUGAGCCUUGAUGUGUAGGAUAGGUGGGAGGCUUUGAAGUGUGGACGCCAGUCUGCAUGGAGCCGACCUUGAAAUACCACCCUUUAAUGUUUGAUGUUCUAACGUGGACCCGUAAUCCGGGUUGCGGACAGUGUCUGGUGGGUAGUUUGACUGGGGCGGUCUCCUCCUAAAGAGUAACGGAGGAGCACGAAGGUUGGCUAAUCCUGGUCGGACAUCAGGAGGUUAGUGCAAUGGCAUAAGCCAGCUUGACUGCGAGCGUGACGGCGCGAGCAGGUGCGAAAGCAGGUCAUAGUGAUCCGGUGGUUCUGAAUGGAAGGGCCAUCGCUCAACGGAUAAAAGGUACUCCGGGGAUAACAGGCUGAUACCGCCCAAGAGUUCAUAUCGACGGCGGUGUUUGGCACCUCGAUGUCGGCUCAUCACAUCCUGGGGCUGAAGUAGGUCCCAAGGGUAUGGCUGUUCGCCAUUUAAAGUGGUACGCGAGCUGGGUUUAGAACGUCGUGAGACAGUUCGGUCCCUAUCUGCCGUGGGCGCUGGAGAACUGAGGGGGGCUGCUCCUAGUACGAGAGGACCGGAGUGGACGCAUCACUGGUGUUCGGGUUGUCAUGCCAAUGGCACUGCCCGGUAGCUAAAUGCGGAAGAGAUAAGUGCUGAAAGCAUCUAAGCACGAAACUUGCCCCGAGAUGAGUUCUCCCUGAGACUUAGAGUCUCCUGAAGGAACGUUGAAGACGACGACGUUGAUAGGCCGGGUGUGUAAGCGCAGCGAUGCGUUGAGCUAACCGGUACUAAUGAACCGUGAGGCUUAACCUU